rnacentral:rRNA from 1 species
GACGUAGGGGGCCAGCGUUGCUCGGAAUUACUGGGUGUAAAGGGUUCGUAGGCGGUGUGGCAAGUCGGGAGUGAAAUCUCUGGGCUCAACCCAGAGUCUGCUUCCGAAACUGCUGUGCUUGAGUGUGGGAGAGGCGCGUGGAAUUCCAGGUGUAGCGGUGAAAUGCGUAGAUAUCUGGAGGAACACCGAUGGCGAAGGCAGCCCCCUGGGCUAGCACUGACGCUCAGGCACGAAAGCGUGGGGAGCAAACAGG